UAUGUUUUUACAGUUAUGUUUACUAAUGCAGUUAGACAAAUAUUAGGCCUAAAAUUAUUGAUUCGAGGUGGAAUAGGACCACAAAUUUUGGAAAUGUUGGCAUCGGGAUCUGCUGAAGGAAAUGAGGUUGACGAACGUUCAUUCACUCAAACGGAAGUGGAUAGGAGAUGGAUCUUCAGCAUAACUGGAUUCUAACAUACGGAACAAUUUAACUGAAAAAAUUGUCGGGGUUUGAGAUUUGUCUUUAAAUUUUUUCAUUGUAAGCUGAAAGCUGAUCAUGAAAUGAAUGUAGGACGUCCGCUACGUCUGAGUCAAACAUGUUAUGCCAUGAAUACGAGCAUAAGCGAAUAGGGUGAAAGCGAAUCUCACGAAUCAAGAGUUUGUUGAAGUUCUGUCCGGAUUACGGAACAAGCUGAUUGAAGCGACAAGGGAUCUCACAAACCAUCUGUCUGUCUUUGCGUUCUGGAUUGAAAGGUCAAAGAAGAUACUGACAACACGGCGACAGAAAUAAAUGGCUUGUGAUAGUCCUUUACCAUGGUUUGUCGGAUAUCAAAGCCUGCCCCAGUAGUGACGUAUCUGCGUGAAGUUUAAAAUGCGCCCCCGUGAUCGUUUACUGAAAUUUUUAACGACUGUUUGUUGCUUUGGAAUACUUUUCAAGUUAUUACUAUAAAGUACGUUCUGGACGGAGGAAAAAGAAAAUAUUUAUCUCUAAUCAAGCAGCCGUAGAAUGGCAGUUUUAUCUUUGAGUGUUUUGCAAUUGUACAAUAUGUAUUUUAAUUGAAUUGAGCAAACCGGUACCCAUGGCCCACGUUGGUCAUCUGCCGUGGGGUGAAUAUCUGGAUCAGCGAAGCAAGCGCUGACCUAUAACCAGAUCACAGAGCGAUAGACUGCCACCUGAAAAUACGAGUAAUCUUUUUUAAUUGGGACCCGCAAUGCCUGAUUUGGUGUGUGUUAAUUGACUACUCAUUGGACUGAAAAAUGGCAUUUGAAACUUUGCGCUCGCGGUCGGUAAGUAUAUAUAUUCAAAUCUCGCUUACUCGUUUUAUACUCUUGUCACAAAUUUCGUUCCGUCUGUAUCUUAGCAGAUCGUGUUAUUUUAACAUAAUUUAGGCAGUUUGAUUCCUUUUUUUAUUUUGAAUUAAUGCAGUUUCACCCUUACACUUGUCUAUCCCUACCUAAAACCUAUCUAUCCGGCCGUCCCAACCACCCAUCUCAACAUCCCAGCGAACGAUUUUUGACCCUAGUUUGACGAAGUCUAUUUACGCCGACCUGAUCUAAUAUUGCAAUGAACGGAGCGUUCCCUACAUAUUCUAACCUGCCUACGGUCAGCUUUUAUAAACCAAAUCUGUAUUCAUCACGUGCGCGGGCGAUUUCGCUCCGCUACGUUGAGUGAAUCCUAGUUA